UUACUGAGUAUAGAAAUCAGCAAUUUUGAAGCUGGGAAAUAGUAUUACUACUCAUUCUAGAGAAGCAUGAUGAAGGCAGGAUUAAUUCACUCAAGGCAUUUGCUUUGUUGACGAAUCCAUUCCUUAUAAUCUUGCAACAAUUGUUGUGCAAGCAAUGGUACCAGCUGGUCUACCAGAGCCUGCAUAACCCUGUAUGUCAUCGAAAUACAAUAGUUUUCAGAUAAAUUACAGUACUUACAAAUUUCCUGGACGCUCGACAGCUGAUAUAGGCAGCAGUGCAAAUGGCUGGGUGUUGAUCUGCGAUGAGAAACACAAUUAUUGUGAUGAAAAAGAUUGGGCCAACGAUAGUAAGAAAGUUUAAUUUCAGUUGUGUUCCAAGAAGUAACCCUUUUUGGAAAAGAAAUGGAAUCUUGAACUCAAGUAAAAGGGUAACAACCUCAAGGAGGAUAUUUAAUUCCACAUCAACAUCCAAGACAUGUUCGGCA